rnacentral:lncRNA from 1 species
GGCGCAGUCCGCGGCAGGGUUCCGGCCGUGCUGCGGUCCGCACGCUGCGCCCGCUCCCGCCUGCCUCCCGCCCUACCCCCCACCCUCCCC